GACGAACGCUGGCGGCGUGCCUAAUACAUGCAAGUAGAACGCUGAAGGAGGAGCUUGCUUCUCUGGUUGAGUUGCGAACGGGUGAGUAACGCGUAGGUAACCUGCCUGGUAGCGGGGGAUAACUAUUGGAAACGAUAGCUAAUACCGCAUAAGAGUAGAUGUUGCAUGACAUUUGCUUAAAAGGUGCAAUUGCAUCACUACCAGAUGGACCUGCGUUGUAUUAGCUAGUUGGUGGGGUAACGGCUUACCAAGGCGACGAUACAUAGCCGACCUGAGAGGGUGUUCGGCAAAACUGGGCCUGAGACAGGGCCCAGACUCCUACGGGAGGCAGCAGUAGGGAAUCUUCGGCAAUGGACGGAAGUCUGACCGAGCAACGCCGCGUGAGUGAAGAAGGUUUUCGGAUCGUAAAGCUCUGUUGUAAGAGAAGAACGAGUGUGAGAGUGGAAAGUUCACACUGUGACGGUAUCUUACCAGAAAGGGACGGCUAACUACGU
rnacentral:rRNA from 1 species